rnacentral:rRNA from 1 species
GAUGAACGCUGGCGGCGUGCCUAAUACAUGCAAGUCGAGCGAACAGACGAGGAGCUUGCUCCUCUGACGUUAGCGGCGGACGGGUGAGUAACACGUGGAUAACCUACCUAUAAGACUGGGAUAACUUCGGGAAACCGGCGCUAAUACCGGAUAAUAUAUUGAACCGCAUGGUUCAAUAGUGAAAGACGGUUUUGCUGUCACUUAUAGAUGGAUCCGCGCCGCAUUAGCUAGUUGGUAAGGUAACGGCUUACCAAGGCAACGAUGCGUAGCCGACCUGAGAGGGUGAUCGGCCACACUGGAACUGAGACACGGUCCAGACUCCUACGGGACGCAGCAGUAGGGAAUCUUCCGCAAUGGGCGAAAGCCUGACGGAGCAACGCCGCGUGAGUGAUGAAGGUCUUCGGAUCGUAAAACUCUGUUAUUAGGGAAGAACAAAUGUGUAAGUAACUAUGCACGUCUUGACGGUACCUAAUCAGAAAGCCACGGCUAACUACGUG